CUCGCGUUGACAAGCCUCCUUGUAAUUCUUCAACCAAGGGAAUCAAGAGCUCUUACCUCCUUGACUUUAGAGAUUCAGUACUCAAUUAUUUGGCUCCAGCUGGAGCAAAUUUGAAUAUAUGUAAAUUAUACAUGUCCCUGUAUAUAUGUAAAUAUAUAUAAUAUGUGUACACAUGUAUACAUUUGCAUAUUAGUGCUUGUGUGUGCUUGUAUAUAUAUUUGUAGAA
rnacentral:lncRNA from 10 species